CAGCCCUGCCUGGUUUCUUUUCUUUUCUUUCCACAGGUCAGCUUCGGAUUUCACCAUGUUGUGGACGUGUUUUGUUAGCUUGUUGGUGAUUUGGUGCACAGGUUCACAUUGCCUGCCUACACUGACUCAACCACCAUCCGCAUCAGUGGGACAAGGGAAUACAGUGAAACUUUCCUGUAGCUCAAGCCCAGACGCCAGCAUUGGUAGCUAUUGGGUCUCCUGGUACCAGCAGAAGCCUGGUGGCUCCCCACGGUACCUCCUGGCAUACUACUCUGAUAGCAGCAAGAACCAAGGCUCGGGGGUCCCUGCGCGGUUCUCCGGCUCCAAAGACACCUCCACAAAUAGUGGAAUUCUGACCAUCUCUGGAGUCCUGGCAGAGGACGAGGCUGGUUAUUACUGUGCAAUGUACUAUGGCAAUGGCAUUUUCCACAGUGCAAACGCAGAGGCUGUGCUGACCCAACCGGCGUCCCUCGCAGCAGCACCAGGGAGCACAGUGAGAAUCUCCUGUGCCAUGAGCAGCGUUUCCAGCAUCAGUGACAAGUAUGUAGCUUGGUACCAGCAGAAGCCUGGCAGUGCCCCACGUUACCUCUUGUGGUAUUACUCAGACUCCAACAAGCACCAAGGCUCGGGGGUCCCUGCUUGGUUCUCUGGCUCCAAGGACAACUCCAAGAACACUGGGUACUUGACCAUCUCGGGAGUCCUGGCAGAAGACGAGGCUGAUUAUUACUGUGCUGUCUGGCACAGCAGUGCUUUCCACAGUGAUGCUUUCUCAUAG